GACGAACGCUGGCGGCGUGCUUAACACAUGCAAGUCGAACGGACAGGCCCUGCUUUUGUGGGUUGCUCGAGUGGCGCACGGGUGAGUAACACGUGAGUAUCCUCCCCUUGACUUUGGGAUAACUUCAGGAAACUCGGGCUAAUACCGGAUAUGAGCUUCUGCUGCAUGGUGGGGGUUGGAAAGAUUCGGCGGUUGGGGCUGGACUCGCCGCUUAUCGGCUUGAUGGUGGGGUAGUGGCUUACCAAGGCUUUGACGGGUAGCCGGCCUGAGAGGGUGACCGGCGACAUGGCUACUGAGGUACGGCGCAGUCGGGUACGGGACGCAACAGGCGAGAGUCUGACAGAGCGGGGGGGAGCGUGAUACGACGGUGCCGCGAGCGGGAUGACCGGCUUCUGGUGGUAAACCGAUGUGGCCUGUAACGAAGCGUGCGUGACGGUAAUGGGUAAAAAAGCACCGGCUAACUACGUG
rnacentral:rRNA from 1 species